rnacentral:rRNA from 1 species
AGAUUGAACGCUGGCGGCAUGCCUUACACAUGCAAGUCGAACGGUAGAGGGAGCAAUCCUUCGAGAGUGGCGAACGGGUGAGUAAUAUAUCGGAACGUGCCCAGUCGUGGGGGAUAACGUAGAGAAAUUUACGCUAAUACCGCAUACGAUC